rnacentral:rRNA from 1 species
UAUGUCUGGGAACUGCCUGAUGGAGGGGGAUAACUACUGGAAACGGUAGCUAAUACCGCAUAACGUCGCAAGACCAAAGAGGGGGACCUUCGGGCCUCUUGCCAUCGGAUGUGCCCAGAUGGGAUUAGCUAGUAGGUGGGGUAACGGCUCACCUAGGCGACGAUCCCUAGCUGGUCUGAGAGGAUGACCAGCCACACUGGAACUGAGACACGGUCCAGACUCCUACGGGAGGCAGCAGUGGGGAAUAUUGCACAAUGGGCGCAAGCCUGAUGCAGCCAUGCCGCGUGUAUGAAGAAGGCCUUCGGGUUGUAAAGUACUUUCAGCGGGGAGGAAGGGAGUAAAGUUAAUACCUUUGCUCAUUGACGUUACCCGCAGAAGAAGCACCGGCUAACUCCGUGCCAGCAGCCGCGGUAAUACGGA